rnacentral:rRNA from 1 species
AUUGAACGCUGGCGGCAGGCCUAACACAUGCAAGUCGAACGAGGGGCGGGCGGGUGAGUCAUGUAUGGGAAACUGCCUGCUGGAGGGGGAUAACUACUGGAAACGGUAGAUAAUACCGCUUACCAUCAGGUGUGCCCAGGUGGGAUUCGCUAGUAGGUGGGGUAAUGGUUCACCUAGGCUACGAUCCCUAGCUGGUCUGAGCGGAUGACCAGCCACACUGUGACGGAGCAACGGUCCAGACUCCUACGGGCGGCAGCAGUGGGGAAUAUGGCACAAUGGGCGCAAGCCUGAUGUAGCCAUGCCGCGUGUGUGAAGAAGGCCUUCGGGUUGUAAAGCACUUUCAGCGAGGAGGCGUUACUCGCAGAAGAAGCACCGGCUAACUCCGUGCCAGCAGCCGCGGUAAUAC